GCCCGCCUAGCUCAAUCGGAUAGAGCGUCAGACUCUUAAGGGGUUAGUGGUCCUUGACAAUCUGAAGGCUGCGAGUUCGACCCUCGCGGUGGGCU